GAUGAACGCUAGCGGCAGGCUUAACACAUGCAAGUCGAGGGGCAGCACAGAUAGCAAUAUUGGGUGGCGACCGGCAAACGGGUGCGGAACACGUACGCAAUCUACCUUUAUCUGGGGCAUAGCCCGAAGAAAUUCGGAUUAACUCCCCAUAGUAUAUUUGAGUGGCAUCACUUAGAUAUUAAAACUCCGGUGGAUAAAGAUGAGCGUGCGUCCCAUUAGCUAGUUGGUAGGGUAACGGCCUACCAAGGCGACGAUGGGUAGCUGGUGUGAGAGCACGACCAGCCACACGGGCACUGAGACACGGGCCCGACUCCUACGGGAGGCAGCAGUGGGGAAUUUUGCGCAAUGGACGAAAGUCUGACGCAGCAACGCCGCGUGGGUGAUGAAGGUCUUCGGAUUGUAAAACCCUGUCGCCAGGGACGAAGGGUGGGGCGUGAAUAGCGUUCUACUUUGACGGUACCUGGAAAGGAAGCCCCGGCUAACUCUGUGCCAGCAGC
rnacentral:rRNA from 1 species